rnacentral:rRNA from 1 species
CACGUAGGGGGCGAGCGUUGUCCGGAUUUAUUGGGCGUAAAGAGCUCGUAGGCGGCUCGGUAAGCCAGGUGUGAAAACUCCAGGCUCAACCUGGAGACGCCACCUGAUACUGCUGUGGCUAGAGUCCGGUAGGGGAGCAUGGAAUUCCUGGUGUAGCGGUGAAAUGCGCAGAUAUCAGGAGGAACACCAGUGGCGAAGGCGGUGCUCUGGGCCGGUACUGACGCUGAGGAGCGAAAGCGUGGGGAGCAAACAGG